rnacentral:rRNA from 1 species
UACGUAGGGGGCAAGCGUUGUCCGGAAUCAUUGGGCGUAAAGAGCGCGUAGGCGGCCCUGUAAGUCCGCUGUGAAAGUCAAGGGCUCAACCCUUGAAUGCCGGUGGAUACUGCAGGGCUAGAGUCCGGAAGAGGCGAGUGGAAUUCCUGGUGUAGCGGUGAAAUGCGCAGAUAUCAGGAGGAACACCGAUGGCGAAGGCAGCUCGCUGGGACGGUACUGGACGCUGAGGAGCGAAAGCGUGGGGAGCGAACAGG